rnacentral:tRNA from 1 species
GUCUUGAUAGUUUAUAAAAACACCAACAUGUGGAGUUGGAGAUGAUAUUUUCUUAGGACA